CCCUGUCUGGCGGAUCUCCCAUCUGGCUGUCUGCAGAUUUCAGCUGGCUCCAAUGGCCAUACCCUGCUCCAGCUGCAUCUGUGCAAGUACAAUUUCUGAGAUUAUCAGAAAAUUGAGAGAACACCGACCUGCAUUUUGCCACAGCAGCACUGCCAACAUCCACCAAUAUUGGCAGAUACUUCAGACAAUGAAGCCAGGAGAAGACAAGUAUCCUUCCUCCUCAGGAAGAGAUGUGGGGAUGUGUUUACUGCAGAAGUUGCCCUCACAUCAAGGAGGAAGACUUAUUAGAUGAAAUAUCCUGAAAGUCAGUGUUGGAAAGAGAAAGCAUGGAGAUGCACAGCCUGUUGGCUCCUCACGACCUGCACGGCAUUGGAGUGCAGAAACUGGACCACAAGCUCUGUCUUCCUGCUGGAUCUCAGCUCUU